CCGGCUUCAGAUCUCAAAGUAGCUUCUGUGAUGGGGAGCCCUUCUCCUUUCUUCAGAACUGAUGGGAGUAAUAACAUCAUUGGACGAUUGCCUUGUUCAUCCUUAUCCUUGGUGCUGGGCUAGACGCAAGAUGUGCGGAAACUCCUAAGACAGGCCUGCCCUCAAGGCACUCGCAGACCGCAGGGAGACAGGAAUAACAAGCUCUGUGAUAAGCCCUGGCCAAGCCCCACCCAGGAGAUAUGCCAUGGAAACGGGAUGCCUGGGUGGCAGGGAUCUUUGAAUGGUUGACCCCAUAUUACGUCUACCUGCCUGAUGAAGGAAAGCCAAAAGCAAGCUGGAGAGGCCCACAUAGAAAGAAGCUGUGGGCCACCAUCCGCCAUGGCCAGCAAGGAACUGAGAGCCUCAGUCCAGCAGCUGGGGAAGAACUGAGUCCUGCCAAUAACCACAGAGUGAACUUGGCAACAGAUCUUGACCCAGCUGAGCCUUCAGGCUGGAGCACUUAAUGGGCGGUGCAAAUGCCUUGAUGCUUUGUCGUCCUGCCAUGGUGACAAUGGAAGAGCCACCAGACUGGAGGAGCUGAGGACACUGAGCUAUCAUAUGGGGACAGCUGCCCUGGAGAGCCGCCCAGACUCACAGCUGACUUUGUCCCUACAGUGACCAGUGAGAAGGCGCUGAAAUGUCCCUGUGGAGAGAGAACGGGCUGGUCAAAGCUGGAGCUGACUGGGGCUGAGGCCUGCUAAGUUCUGGCACCCGGCCUGUACGCGGCUGGUCUGAGUUGGUCAUGGCUGUGCCACAG
rnacentral:lncRNA from 1 species